rnacentral:rRNA from 1 species
GAUGAACGCUGGCGGCGUGCCUAAUACAUGCAAGUCGAGCGAACGGACGAGAAGCUUUCUUCUCUGAUGUUAGCGGCUGACGGGUGUGUAACACGUGGAUAACCUACCUAUAAGACUUGGAUAACUUCGGGAAACCGUAUCUAAUACCGGAUAAUAUUUUGAACCGCAUGGUUCAAAAGUGAAAGACGGUCUUGCUGUCACUUAUAGAUGGAUCCGCGCUGCAUUAGCUAGUUGGUAAGGUAACGGCUUACCAAGGCAACGAUGCAUAGCCGACCUGAGAGGGUGAUCGGCCACACUGGAACUGAGACACGGUCCAGACUCCUACGGGAGGCAGCAGUAGGGAAUCUUCCGCAAUGGGCGAAAGCCUGACGGAGCAACGCCGCGUGAGUGAUGAAGGUCUUCGGAUCGUAAAACUCUGUUAUUAGGGAAGAACAUAUGUGUAAGUAACUGUGCACAUCUUGACGGUACCUAAUCAGAAAGCCACGGCUAACUACGUG